CAAUUUGCAUAAAAAAUUUAUUAGUUUUGAGUUUUUGCAAAAAUAGAUUGUCUUUUUGGAUUUUACAGAUUCGGACCGAAUUUUUAGAAAACUGAUCAAAAUAUCUUUAUUCUCUUUUAUCUCUCCUUUUUUUUACUUUCUCUCCGAAGAGAGCGGUGGAAGCAGAAGUGGAGGCGGCCUGCCUAGCCUACCUCUGUCCCGCGUGACCUUGCUCUCGCCCUCGCCCUCGCCCUCGCCCAUGCACUUUCCCUCCGCCUUACUCGCCUCCGAUCCUGUCGAGACCACGCCUCGACCCUUUCUUUUUUUCCUCUCCGACCCUCCACCGCCUUCCCAAUUCUUUACAAUAGGAAAGAGGGCAGCGUCACAUUCUCUUCCUCUCAUUUUUUUCUCUCACUCUUUUUUUUGUUCCUCUUCAAUCCCCAUCUACUGCCUCUGCGACUCUCCACGACGGUAACAAGGACAGCGCCGCAUUCUCUUCCUUCGCCUUCAUCGACGCAGGCACCAAUGCUGAAAGAAGGACUUAGAGUGAGUGCGGGUGAGAGCAGAGCUGAAAAAAAAUAUACAAAAAAAAAAAAUAAACAAAGAAUAAAAUAUAAAGAAAAAUAAUUAUUUCUAAAAAAAAAAAAUCAAGAACGAGAGAGAAAAGAAGAAGAUGACAAAUCUGCAGUGUUCCAAGAGAAUGUUGCACUGUUUCAGAAGAAUGUUGCACUGUUUUAGAAGAAAUUUAUAUUAUUUGAGAGAAAACAUAUACUUUUUUGAAUGAAAUUACACUUUUUAAACAAAAAUUAUAUUUUUUGAACAAAAAUUGCACUAUUUGAACAAAAAUUACAUUAUUUUUCUUCCUCCUCCUUUUUCUGGCCAAAUAGUAUACUUUUUAGCUAAAUAGUGCAAUUUUCGUUCAAAAAGUACAACUUUUAUUCAAAAAGUGUAAUUUUCAUCUUUUUUCUCUCAAAGAGGUUAAAUUUUAAAAAAAAAAAGUGCAACGCUUUUCUGAAACAGUGUAACAUUUUCCUGAAAUAGUUGAAAUUUAUCAUCUUCUUUUCUUUUUUGUUCUUCAUUUUUCUUAUAAAAUAACUAUUUUUUAUAUUUUAUUUUUUUUUCCUUUUAUUUUUUUAUUUUAUGCAUAUUUUUUCCUCAGCUCCGUUCUCACUGGCACUUCUCCGAGUCCUUUUUCUUCGGCUAAAUAGUUUUCAGUUUUUUGAAAAUCCGACGCGAAUCUAUAAAAUCUAAAAAAAUUCCUACUUUUGCAAAAGUUGAAAACUAAUGAAUUUUUUAUGCAAAUUGGCCAUAUUUUUUUUAUUUGAAGAUUCAUAUAUCGAAAAAAAAUAAAAUAAACAGAAGUUGAA
rnacentral:lncRNA from 1 species